rnacentral:misc_RNA from 1 species
GAAUUCUUGAACGGGGUUGUAGCUGGCCUUUCGAGGCAUGUGCACGCCUCGCUCAUCAUAUCCAUCUUACACCUGUGCACCUUUGCGUGGGUCUGUUGGCUUUCGGGCCUUCAGGCUCGCGUUCUUUACAAACUCUUGUAUGUCUUCAGAAUGUCUUAUUGCUAUAAACGCAUAUUAUACAACUUUCAACAACGGAUCUCUUGGCUCU